rnacentral:rRNA from 1 species
AUUGAACGCUGGCGGCAGGCCUAACACAUGCAAGUCGAGCGGAUGAAGGGAGCUUGCUCCUGGAUUCAGCGGCGGAUGGGUGAGUAAUGCCUAGGAAUCUGCCUGGUAGUGGGGGAUAACGUCCGGAAACGGGCGCUAAUACCGCAUACGUCCUGAGGGAGAAAGUGGGGGAUCUUCGGACCUCACGCUAUCAGAUGAGCCUAGGUCGGAUUAGCUAGUUGGUGGGGUAAAGGCCUACCAAGGCGACGAUCCGUAACUGGUCUGAGAGGAUGAUCAGUCACAUUGGAAAUGAACAACGCCCCAGACCCCGGCGGGAGGCGGCAGGGGGGAUUUGUGGACAAGGGGCGAAAGCUGGACCCAGCCUGGCCGCGGGGGUGAAGAAGGUUUUAGGUUUGUAAAGCCUUUUAGUUGGGGAGAAAGGGAAUAAGUUUAAUACCUUCCUUUUUUGACUUUACCAAAAAAAGAAGCCCCGGCUAAUUUCGUC